GCGAGCUUCCCCGCCGCAGUGCCAGCCCCCCUCCCCCAUAGCGCUGUCCUCGGGCUGCGAGCUUCCCCGCCGCAGUGCCAGCCCCCCCCAUGAUCCGCGGGUAGCGGGGUCCUUCUCCCCUAGUAGCGCUCUCCUCGGGCUGCGAGCUUCCCCGCCGCAGUGCCAGCCCCCCCCCAUGAUCCGCGGGUAGCGGGGUCCUUCUCCCCCAAUAGCGCUCUCGUCGGGCUGCGAGCUUCCCCGCCGCAGUGCCAGGUGCCCGGGCGGCGGGGCUCCUCCAGGGCUGCCCAGAGCAUUCACGGGGCCUGGGGCAAAGCCGGGGAGCUGCAGGGCUUGUACUCCACCCGGGUCUUUGGCGGCACGGAAGGCCCCCCCCCUGCCGAAAUGCCGCCGAAGACCCGGAUCGCCCCACGUCCGCCCCCGCACCCGUGGGCUCCUCUCCCACAAUAACACCCUCCUCGGGCUGUGAGCUUCCCUGCCGCAGUGCCAUUCCGCUCUUCUCGUCCACUGCAUUUCCGUGUGUAGGGCCCCCCUCCCCAGGGCUGUGGGAUUCCCGGCCACCGUGCCUGCUGGCUCUCCCUGGUCCAUCCGCCCCUGCACUUAGAGGUUGAGUUCAGUAUGACCAUGUUGAGCCACAUCUGGAAAUCCCCCCCAGCCACCCACACACACUCCCCUUUGUACUGGGAGUUUCAUUGUUUGUGACUUUCAAGAGACUUGUUUCCAUAGAGAUCUGUUACGCCGGGGGGCGGGGGCAGCUUUUUGGACCCUCCAGCCCCUCUCCUUACUAGUAGGGCUUGGAUUACAUUGUCUGUUGUGUUUCAUUUCUACCUCCUGUGGGCUUCAGUAGGAGUCUGACUAAUAUUUCACCACCUUCCCCCAUCCUCUGCUCCAUUCUCCCUCCUCCCUCCCCUUUCAGGGAGGGGGUGGGGAUGGAGGAGUUUCCUCCUUGGAUCAUGGGCAGCAGGAACAAAACUUGCUCUGCUCAGGGUCUGCGCAUGUGGGGGCGGAAUGGCCUUGGUAACAGACUGUGUUUAAGCAUAGUGGGUACUAGCAGGCUUCUGGCAACAGUCUCCCUGUCCAGGGUAACUGUGCGUUUCUCCUCUACCUGUUUCAGAUGUGAGAUCCAUCUGGUCAAAGUAAGCGUGUGUGUGUUUCCCCCACCCCCAUUCCUGGUUUGGGGAGCAGUUGCUUAGACCCCCUUUAAAACAAUUGCUCAGAUUCCAUUGUUGCUGGCAUGGCUCUGACAACAGUGUUGAUUUUUAUGCAACAGGCACUCAGAUGCUGUGGUGAUGGGUGGCAGUGUGAAACCCUAAAACAGACAUGGAGUGUUGACCUAAAGCUCAGCUGUGAUCUUAACGGAGAUAGGCAUUGGCACAGGCAGUCUGAACUUCCCCAUAAAGUUUGGGGAAUUGCCAGGGUUUGGAGCAUAGGAAUUGUCAGAUGGAUUCAGCUCCAGGGUCCAUCUACCCCACUACCCUGUCUUCAACACUGGUUCCCACAAUAAACUAAUGGGUGGCAGGCAGUUUAUCCCACACUUUCCCCUCCUCCUCACUAGAUCUCUUCUUUAUAGAAGUGUGAAGUUAAAUAUCUGGGUUCUGGCCUGUUUCUAGUUUGUCACAGCUUGUGUGAAUAGGACUGAAGUGAAUUAAAAGUCCACAGCCAUGCCUAAAGUCUUUAGCUGGGUUGGAGCAUGUGUUAUGUGCUUGGUCCUAACUUGGUAUAACUGUUUAGAGGCCAAACCAUAGUGGAGGAUAUUUGAAACAAGCAAGUAUAAGGAAGGGUUAAACUCAGCUGUCACUGUAGUGUGUGUUUGGGGAGGGAGGGCCACAUAGAUACUUGCCCUAAAAUCUGAAUUCUCCACACCUGCAGUUGAAUGUCACUGAUUUUGAUUUAUGCUAAGAUCCUGUUUCUGACAUGGAAGGUGCUCGGAGAGAACUGUUUGAAGAGUAUCUUGGUGUGUCUUUUUAUAGAAUUAUUGACUGACUAAAGGAUCAGGUCAAGGGAGUAGGGAAAGAGAUUGUGUACAGGUACUUUGCACAGAGAAGGUUCUUUCUCUCCCCCUGAAUAUCUCCUCUCCUCCCCCCUCCCCCCCAAAAAAAAAACAAACCAACAAAAUAAACCUAUACCACUUGGUUCACAGAAGUGUCAGCAAUAGUUCUGACUCUGAUGCUUACUCAAACAUGAGGUCAAAGAGAGAUGACAACCUGAGUAGCUUGGAGGCAGAGCCCAGCAGAGCUGGGUCCAGGUGAUCCUCUGACUCUUCCAUUGCUCACACUGUUCAGUCUGCUUGGCUCCCAAGUUGUGAUGUAAUGGUGAGAAGCAGCUCCUUGGUGAAAGGCUUGUGCUCCAGAGUGCAGUUGAAAGUGGGAUUUCUGCAUCUUCCCUUGGGUCCAGUUGGACUGUGCCUAAUGAAAAUGACAAGCAGGUCUGCUGCUGUCUGAGGAUGGCUGCUGUGGUGACUUAGGAGAGGGAGAACUGAGGCUUUCUGAGACAGUGGGGAUGGGAGGGUAAGAAGACUAUGAGGAGGUAGGCUGUAUGGAAGAGCACUGCAGCACCUCCUUGUUAGCAAAUCUGACCAUUGCAAAACUCUUCUUGGCAGAGUAGGCAAAUCCUGUAUUGUUUUAAUUCACUGGAAUUCUGCCAGUUGAGAAACCCCAACUUAGACUUGAAUCUUCCUCUGAAAACUUCCAAACUCUAUGGUCCAGUCUGUGCUGAGGGGAAUCUUCUAAAACUGUUUAAAAAAGAAUUAAACCACUUCCCAUCAUUGCUAAUGCUAGUUCAGCUCUACCAGUGUUAGGUUGGGGACCCUAGACCUGCAGACACCCAUGGAACUGACCUGAUAGUGAUGGAAAAUUAUCUUAGAAUUUCCUUAGCGUGGACGGGGCUUCCCUGUAUAAACAAGGGAUGGUUAAUGGAAUGGGGGUGGUUAAGUGAUCUUGGUUCUCUCUCCAUCUGAGGUCUGUCACAGGCUUCCUGUGAGACUUUCAGAGCAAGCCACUUUUGGCUGUACCUGUUUCUCCUUUUUUG